rnacentral:rRNA from 1 species
GACGAACGCUGGCGGCGUGCCUAAUACAUGCAAGUUGAGCGCUGAAGGUUGGUACUUGUACCAACUGGAUGAGCAGCGAACGGGUGAGUAACGCGUGGGGAAUCUGCCUUUGAGCGGGGGACAACAUUUGGAAACGAAUGCUAAUACCGCAUAAAAACUUUAAACACAAGUUUUAAGUUUGAAAGAUGCAAUUGCAUCACUCAAAGAUGAUCCCGCGUUGUAUUAGCUAGUUGGUGAGGUAAAGGCUCACCAAGGCGAUGAUACAUAGCCGACCUGGGAGGGUGAUCGGCCACAUUGGGACUGAGACACGGCCCAAACUCCUACGGGAGGCAGCAGUAGGGAAUCUUCGGCAAUGGACGAAAGUCUUACCGAGCAACGCCGCGUGAGUGAAGAAGGUUUUCGGAUCGUAAAACUCUGUUGGUAGAGAAGAACGUUGGUGAGAGUGGAAAGCUCAUCAAGUGACGGUAACUACCCAGAAAGGGACGGCUAACUACGUG